rnacentral:lncRNA from 1 species
AAUAGCUGUAUACCUAUUAAAAAAAUUGAACUUGUCACCAAAAUUUUUUUUACAAUGAAGGUAAUUAUUAGAAUUUAAAUGGUAAGAGAACUCCACAAGGUUAUUGCAGACAAGUUGAGUGGAUGAAUUUUGGAAACUGAGCAGGAUUAAAAUGAGUGGUCCCUGGCAAGGAGGCAAUUUUAAUUCAGAAGAUGGAAACCAGCAUAAUAUAGAUCUGUCGUGGCUUCAGCAUCAGGAAACAACACACUGAUCAUGACAUCAAACUCCAGAGGAAGCCGGCUAAGGAUGUGCUUGUUUUGAUGUGACAUGUGCCUGCGAUGAUUAACUCUCAUGCUCCCACAAUCUCUCCAGGGCCCCAGACUUGGUCCUUCCUCGCCUGUAAACAGGAUCAGGAUGCAUCCUGGAGUUCAGCCAAGGGCAUCUGGCCUUGGGUAAGACAGACUCCACAAAACACAUACAUUGUUCCUGGCAAGGGAACCACGAGGGAAGGAAAAGGAGAGAAGGAAGGCAGCAUGGGACACUGACAUCCAUCCACGUAUGACAAAUCACAUCAGAUGCAACUGAGCACAUGCAACUCAGAGGGAAAAGACAGGAAUAGGCCCAUGGAACACAUUCACCUUCUACAUGAUCAACAGCUUCGGGAAAGCAAUACAGCCAAGUGCCAAGUGAGAAAAAGGGAAAAGCAUGUAAAAUGAAUGAAAUGUUGACUGCAAUGGAAGACAUUUUAGACUGUUCUUGUUACAUAACAAAGAGAGGGAGGAAACCAUGCUGGGAGGAGACAUUGGGAGAGACCUGCCAACAGACCUCCAAAUGCAUAUUCAAAUGGUGUUUCAAAGCACUUCUUUGGGCUUAAGUCUUUUUACCUAUAAGAUGGAUUUUAAUGUUUCCAUUAAAAAUGGAAACUGUAUUGAUUAGGUAUAUGUUUUUAAAUUUUAUUAUUAACAGAAACAAGGUUUUGUUCCAAUACCCAGGGUGGAGUCCAGUGGCACAAUCACAGCUCACUGCAGCCUCAAACUUCUAGACUCAAGACAUCAUCCCGUCUCAGCCUCCUGAGUAGCUGGGACUACAGGUGUGUGCCACCAUGCCAGACUAGUUUUUUAAAAAAAUUCUGUAGAGAUGGAGCCUUGAUAACUUGUGCAGGCUGAUCUCAAACUCCUGGCCUCAAGUGAUCUUCCUGCUUUGCCCUCCCAAAGCACUGAGAUUAUAGGCCUGAGCCACCAUGCCUGCUUAAUUAUCUUUUUCCAAGGCACUGGCCAGGCCACUUUGUAAAAAAGAAAAAAAAAAGUAGGUCAGUAUAUUAACAGACAUUGUAGGUCAGUCUUGCUUUAAAAAAUUAUACUUCUAAAAGAAGAAAAUUAUUGUCAUCCUGGAAAUUGGUUCCAGAAGAAAAGGGAGAGAAGUUAUGGGGGCAAAUGACAAUUGCCAGAGGCAAGGUGAUGUCCCAUUUAUGUCGGAGAAUGAAAUAUUUGUACUGUGCAAUAACAGCCAAAAAUUCAAUUGGAA